rnacentral:rRNA from 1 species
UACGUAGGGAGCAAGCGUUAUCCGGAUUUAUUGGGUGUAAAGGGUGCGUAGACGGAGAAGCAAGUUAGUUGUGAAAUCCCUCGGCUUAACUGAGGAACUGCAACUAAAACUACUUCCCUUGAGUACUGGAGAGGAAAGUGGAAUUCCUAGUGUAGCGGUGAAAUGCGUAGAUAUUAGGAGGAACACCAGUGGCGAAGGCGAUUUUCUGGACAGUAACUGACGUUGAGGCACGAAAGUGUGGGGAGCAAACAGG